rnacentral:rRNA from 1 species
UACGAAGGGGGCUAGCGUUGUUCGGAAUCACUGGGCGUAAAGGGCGCGUAGGCGGCGCGACAAGUCAGGCGUGAAAGCCCCGGGCUCAACCCGGGAAUUGCGCUUGAUACUGUCGUGCUUGAGGCCGGGAGAGGAUGGCGGAAUUCCCAGUGUAGAGGUGAAAUGCGCAGAUAUCGGGAGGAACACCAAUGGCGAAGGCAGCUCGCUGGGACGGUACUGACGCUGAGGCUCGAAAGCGUGGGGAUCAAACAGG